CCGCGGCCCGGGGAGCUGGGGGCCCCGCGCCCGGCCGUUCCCACCCCCGCCCGGGCAGGGCGUUCCCGCCGGCCGGCUUCCUGCCACCCGGGGCACGGAGGAGGGCAGGGAGGAGGGCGGGCGCGGGGCCGCGGGGCCUGGCAGGCCUGGUUCCUGGCUUUCUCUCCGCGUUUCCUGAGCGGGACCGGCCGGGGGAUGGGACCCAGCGCAAACCCCCUUCCCCGGGAGCGCAGCCAGGAAACCGCGUCCUGGUUCCCGCCGGGCCCUCCUCCUCCUCCUCGCUGAUGGCCGGCCACUGUCGUUUCGUCCUUCAGCUGGGUACGAUGCGACCCGCCGGCCCCGUGAGCAAGCCGAGAGAUGAGAGGGCAGACCCCGGACCGCACACACAGCGAGAUUCCGACCCCUCGAUGUCAGCUUACUAACGCCGUCCUACGGAUGAGAAAAGCGAGGCGUAAAACAUGAAGUGACUUACCCAAGGUCGUCAUAAAAAUAUCACUCGGAAUAAAAUAAAGCGCUUCCUACAGACCAGGCGCUGUGCUACAAAUGCUCUAAAUGGAUGACAUAAUGAUAAAACCCCUCUCUUAGGGUCAUCGGGAAGAUGAAAUGAGUUAGGACAUAUUCAGUUCAUAGAACAGGCCUGUCACGUGGUGAAUUCCGUGCAAGAAUUAGCUGUUGCUGUAGUCUGAUUGGAAGAACCACGUCAGUGACUCGGGACACAAAUUUUUCCCUGCACUAAACUCUCAGAGGAACGUAUUAUUAAAGGACCCCAACGAGUGCAAGGGACCGUGCCUAAAAGUGUUAGACUUUUAGGACACUGCUGGGCCCUGUGUCCCAUUCUCUCAUUGGCUUUUGGCUCAGACAAGCCUCAGCAUUCUGCUCACUGGGUAAUUCUGCAGGCAGGCGGCUGGGGGCCCGGGGGCCUUUCCGAUGACCUGUCCACGUGGCAGGUAAGUGUGGAGGGGAGAAGCAGAGGGGGUGGUGUCAGACAGACCCACGUGCAUUUGUUAACCUCUUUAAGCCUCGGUUUCUUCAUCCACGGUGAGGACGAUAACAAAUAGACCCCCCCAAGGGAGCUGCUCUGAAGAGAACGUGAAAAAAUAAAUACAGAACACCUGCCACAGUCACUGGCUCAUAGGAGGCCUGCAGCGCACGCACCCACAGAAUAAGGAAGAAACCGACAGAAUAAAACGGGAAGCUCACCUGAGACCCUGGAGUACGGAGGAUAAUUUUUAAUACUCCCCAAAGUGGAACAGAAGUGGUACAUUUCCCCCAGAAGGCGGCCUGGGCUGACCAAAGCAUCAUGGCUUUGCUUCUGCCUGGAAUUCGCUUGGCCUGACUCAGUGCAUGUGGAGGCCGGGCUGGCCCAUUUGGGGAGCCACUCUGGCCUGGAGAGGCGCCACAGAGCAAGAAUGGCCAGUGGGCCUCGGCAACUGACUCUGUCUUUGAUGGGGAUUGAGAACCGCAAGUUCCCCCCAGGGCUUCCAUGUGUUGGCUGCCUCCUAGGUACCCAGUGCUCUGCUGAGCUUUACACACAUGACCAUGUCCAGCCCCCACGACAGCUUCCAGGGGUGAGCCCUCUUCAGAGUCACAUUUUACAGAUGAGAAAACUGAGGAUCAGAGAAGGAAAGUGGCCUAUCUCUGGUCACACAGCUAAGAAGCAGCAGAGCUGGGACAUGAAAGCCGGGACAUGACGCUAGUAUGUGUUCCUAACCAUUAGACUACACUGCCUCUCCCCUCCAACCUGACCCGGGAUCUCGUCUGUCUCAUUAGCCAGCCUCUCUCUUCCGAGGCUGACUUUUUUCAUGAAGAAUCUUCUAGGAAAUACCUGCUGCCUGGCCCCAGGGCAGCCCCCUGCCCUGUGGAAACUAGCUCAUGGGCAGGAUAGACAAGUUUCACCGGGGUGCCUCAAGCUCAUCAGAAGCUCCGAGUGGAUGGAAAAUCAGCCGCCAUUGCCUGAGUCCAGCCUGCAGCUCCGAUCUGCUCAGCUUCCUGGUUGGUCUCUCUGCCUCUGGGCUCCCCAGCCUCCAUUCCUCCCUUCACACACAGCCAGACCGAGUAAUUGCUCUUCACACUUAUCUAACCAAGUCAUGCCGCUGCUGAAUAAUCUUCAAUAGCUCCCUGUUGCUCCCAGGACCAAGUUCAAAGUCAACAGCUCAGUUUAGCCCCCAAGGCCCAGCCUACGUCUCCAACCCUCUCUUUCCUCUCAGGCAUCCUCGGCCCCCACAGCCCCAGGCAUUCACCGUUCCCAGCCCCAGAGCCUUUGCACAUGCAGUUCCCCCGUGUGAUGCAAGAUAAAUAAACAUGUGAACGAGCUGCCAGGCCUCAGCUGGGCUGUGAGGCUGUCAGAUCCCAUUAGCUCACCUUCUCCAGGUGGUGGCUGGGCCUUCCUGCCCUCUGAUGGAGACUUCUCUGCUGGGGGAGUUGCCCACCGUCCACCUGGAAAAGGGACCAGACAGGAACAGAGCACCAGCAACUCCAGCUUUCUGUAGAGCCCUGGGAAGUGAGGGCCUUACCUUGCACCCACUCCACGUGUCAGAGGCCAGGUGUCGGGGUGGGUGACACGAUAAAGCCACCAACGGGGUCCAGAUUUCCUACCGGGUCUGUAUGGUGCCUGUGUCCAAGCUGUUAACAGCUACCCUACGCUCUCUCCUCGGUGGAGGCAGAAUCCUCCUCUCUCUCUGUGUACCGUGUACACAGUUGCCAGGCGCCGACCCGGAGCAGGCACAGCGUGCCCACCUCCCCCUCCCCACUUGGUAAGGAAAAUUGCGCUGGAGGAAGGUGCCCACCCCGCUGCGAGUUCCGCGCCUGUCUCUGGUGCCUCUGCGCCGCCUGGCGGGCAUACCUGGAAUAGACCAGGAUUUUUGCCGACAGCUCCGCUUAGCGCAAUUCUCCAGGGUGGCAUCUUGGUCUCAUUCCACAUCCCCCCUAAGGCCCUGGGGCUCCCCUGAGCCUGAGGCUCUGAGAAAGGCAGAAGCUGAUUCUGUCUCACCGUGGAAUCUUGGGUCUGUGACUGGCCUUCUCUGGGCUCAAGUUCCUCAUCUAUAAAAAAAGGGCAGGAGGACACUGAACCCUAU
rnacentral:lncRNA from 1 species